AUGAAGCCGCCUUCUGGGAAAGUGUCAUGGAAGAAAUUAACUAAUUGCAUGUUCAGAUGCAUCAGCAGCUGUCUGAUAAUAGCUGCACUUUUCAGUUUGAUAAGGUUUUGCUAUUUUUUUUAAAUUUUUUUAAGUAAACAAAGAAAAUGUUUAGAUCAGGUAAUAUUAAGGAAACGCUAUACAAUAAGAAACCCUAAAUUCUG
rnacentral:misc_RNA from 1 species